rnacentral:lncRNA from 1 species
UGAGACCCGGAGGCUGAGGCUGUAGGUGGGCUCCGCUGGGUAAAAGUUGCCGCAGCAGCUGUCCCUUGGCCCCAUCGCGAUUUAUUUUUCCCCCUUGCUUUCCGGGUCCCGGGAUCCCAAGUUUGUAACUAACGGGAGCGAAUCCACACCCGAGCAAAAUGUUUGCGAGUUUCAGGCGCCCUUAGUUGAAAGGCUGUAAUUAACAAGUCCGCUGUUUGCCAGCCAGGCGCCGUUGCAGGCGCUUUCUGUGGAUUGUCAUUUAUUUCUCACAGCAACCCUAGGAGAUGAAAUUGAAUCAUGGAAGAAUGCCUUUAUCUGAGGAGUCAUCACCACUAGGGAGCUAUGGAGGUGAGGAAACUGAGACAUCAGGCUGUUAUCCUUGACAUCUGCAGCAGCCCUUCCAAGCUGUGGAGACCAGGUCAUCUGGAAUGCCCAUUUAUGUCAAUGGAAGAAAGAAAAAGGGGUCUCCUCCCAUCCUCACCACUGCAUUCUCCCACCAACCCUGCUCCUGUCCCACUUCCCACAACUCAGUUGUUGACAAUUUAACAGUGGGUUUCUGGAAACAGUGCUGCCUCCUUGAUGGUCUAACUAACUACCAGAGUUAUUCUAACAGCAGGAAUUUCAAGCCAGGUAAGGGGAGCUAUGUCAGGCUGCCAGAUGGUGGGGAAGACAGGUGUGGGUGAGCUGGCUUCAGACUAAAGGAAGAGGAGAUCAAGUGUUGGAAUCACAUUUGAGAAAAGGAGUCAAGUGAACUUCAUUACCCAUUAUAGAGGCCUGUUAUAUCCUUUAGUGCUAUUUGGACUUGGAUUGAACCUGUGACAAAUCCUUUUCUUAUGCUUCUUCCAUCCCUGCUUCCAUGUUAUAUCCUUUCCCCUUCUAAAAUGGUAAUAAUGAGAAAUAACUAUUACUAAUUACCCCACUUUAAAAAAUAGGUUUGUAAAACAAGAAUGAAAAACGUUGACAGUUAUUCUGCAGAUUCGCUUUUCACCAAUACAGAAAUGUGGCAAAAAUACAAUUUGAUAUUAACAGAUGAAUUCAGAGGGCUUGGCCAGGAAGAAAAGAGGCAAACCAGACAUACAUAGGAGGCACAGCAAAAGACCCAAGGUGAGGGGC